AUUAGAGUUUGAUCAUGGCUCAAAUUGAACGCUGGCGGCAUGCCUUACACAUGCAAGUCGAACGGCAGCACGGGAGCAAUCCUGGUGGCGAGUGGCGAACGGGUGAGUAAUACAUCGGAACGUGUCCUGUAGUGGGGGAUAGCCCGGCGAAAGCCGGAUUAAUACCGCAUACGAUCUGCGGAUGAAAGCGGGGGAUCUUCGGACCUCGCGCUGCAGGGGCGGCCGAUGGCAGAUUAGCUAGUUGGUGGGGUAAAGGCCUACCAAGGCGACGAUCUGUAGCUGGUCUGAGAGGACGACCAGCCACACUGGGACUGAGACACGGCCCAGACUCCUACGGGAGGCAGCAGUGGGGAAUUUUGGACAAUGGGCGCAAGCCUGAUCCAGCAAUGCCGCGUGUGUGAAGAAGGCCUUCGGGUUGUAAAGCACUUUUGUCCGGAAAGAAAACGCCCGGGUUAAUACCCUGGGCGGAUGACGGUACCGGAAGAAUAAGCACCGGCUAACUACGUGCCAGCAGCCGCGGUAAUACGUAGGGUGCAAGCGUUAAUCGGAAUUACUGGGCGUAAAGCGUGCGCAGGCGGUCCGCUAAGACAGAUGUGAAAUCCCCGGGCUUAACCUGGGAACUGCAUUUGUGACUGGCGGGCUAGAGUAUGGCAGAGGGGGAUAGAAUUCCACGUGUAGCAGUGAAAUGCGUAGAGAUGUGGAGGAAUACCGAUGGCGAAGGCAGUCCCCUGGGCCAAUACUGACGCUCAUGCACGAAAGCGUGGGGAGCAAACAGGAUUAGAUACCCUGGUAGUCCACGCCCUAAACGAUGUCAACUGGUUGUUGGACGUCUUGCUGUUCAGUAACGAAGCUAACGCGUGAAGUUGACC
rnacentral:rRNA from 1 species